rnacentral:rRNA from 1 species
GGGUUGUGAGGUUAAGCGACUAAGCGUACACGGUGGAUGCCCUGGCAGUCAGAGGCGAUGAAGGACGUGCUAAUCUGCGAAAAGCGUCGGUAAGGUGAUAUGAACCGUUAUAACCGGCGAUGUCCGAAUGGGGAAACCCAGUGCAAUUCGUUGCACUAUCGUUAACUGAAUACAUAGGUUAACGAGGCGAACCGGGGGAACUGAAACAUCUAAGUACCCGAGGAAAAGAAAUCAACCGAGAUUCCCCCAGUAGCGGCGAGCGAACGGGGAGCAGCCCAGAGUCUGAAUCAGCUUGUGUGUUAGUGGAACGGUCUGGAAAGUCCGACGGUACAGGGUGAUAGUCCCGUACACCAAAAUGCACAGGCUGUGAACUCGAAGAGUAGGGCGGGACACGUGGUAUCCUGUCUGAAUAUGGGGGGACCAUCCUCCAAGGCUAAAUACUCCUGACUGACCGAUAGUGAACCAGUACCGUGAGGGAAAGGCGAAAAGAACCCCGGCGAGGGGAGUGAAAAAGAACCUGAAACCGUGUACGUACAAGCAGUGGGAGCACCUUCGGGUGUGACUGCGUACCUUUUGUAUAAUGGGUCAGCGACUUAUAUUCUGUAGCAAGGUUAACCGUAUAGGGGAGCCGCAGGGAAACCGAGUCUUAACUGGGCGUUAAGUUGCAGGGUAUAGACCCGAAACCCGGUGAUCUAGCCAUGGGCAGGUUGAAGGUUGGGUAACACUAACUGGAGGACCGAACCGACUAAUGUUGAAAAAUUAGCGGAUGACUUGUGGCUGGGGGUGAAAGGCCAAUCAAACCGGGAGAUAGCUGGUUCUCCCCGAAAGCUAUUUAGGUAGCGCCUCGUGAAUUCAUCUUCGGGGGUAGAGCACUGUUUCGGCUAGGGGGUCAUCCCGACUUACCAACCCGAUGCAAACUACGAAUACCGAAGAAUGUUAUCACGGGAGACACACGGCGGGUGCUAACGUCCGUCGUGAAGAGGGAAACAACCCAGACCGCCAGCUAAGGUCCCAAAGUCAUGGUUAAGUGGGAAACGAUGUGGGAAGGCACAGACAGCCAGGAUGUUGGCUUAGAAGCAGCCAUCAUUUAAAGAAAGCGUAAUAGCUCACUGGUCGAGUCGGCCUGCGCGGAAGAUGUAACGGGGCUAAACCAUGCACCGAAGCUGCGGCAGCGACACUAUGUGUUGUUGGGUAGGGGAGCGUUCUGUAAGCCUGCGAAGGUGUGCUGUGAGGCAUGCUGGAGGUAUCAGAAGUGCGAAUGCUGACAUAAGUAACGAUAAAGCGGGUGAAAAGCCCGCUCGCCGGAAGACCAAGGGUUCCUGUCCAACGUUAAUCGGGGCAGGGUGAGUCGACCCCUAAGGCGAGGCCGAAAGGCGUAGUCGAUGGGAAACAGGUUAAUAUUCCUGUACUUGGUGUUACUGCGAAGGGGGACGGAGAAGGCUAUGUUAGCCGGGCGACGGUUGUCCCGGUUUAAGCAUGUAGGCUGGUUAUCCAGGCAAAUCCGGAUAAUCAAGGCUGAGGUGUGAUGACGAGGCACUACGGUGCUGAAGUAACAAAUGCCCUGCUUCCAGGAAAAGCCUCUAAGCAUCAGGUAACAUCAAAUCGUACCCCAAACCGACACAGGUGGUCAGGUAGAGAAUACCAAGGCGCUUGAGAGAACUCGGGUGAAGGAACUAGGCAAAAUGGUGCCGUAACUUCGGGAGAAGGCACGCUGGUGUGUAGGUGAAGUCCCUGCGGAUGGAGCUGAGACCAGUCGAAGAUACCAGCUGGCUGCAACUGUUUAUUAAAAACACAGCACUGUGCAAACACGAAAGUGGACGUAUACGGUGUGACGCCUGCCCGGUGCCGGAAGGUUAAUUGAUGGGGUUAUCCGUAAGGAGAAGCUCUUGAUCGAAGCCCCGGUAAACGGCGGCCGUAACUAUAACGGUCCUAAGGUAGCGAAAUUCCUUGUCGGGUAAGUUCCGACCUGCACGAAUGGCGUAAUGAUGGCCAGGCUGUCUCCACCCGAGACUCAGUGAAAUUGAACUCGCUGUGAAGAUGCAGUGUACCCGCGGCAAGACGGAAAGACCCCGUGAACCUUUACUAUAGCUUGACACUGAACAUUGAGCCUUGAUGUGUAGGAUAGGUGGGAGGCUUUGAAGCGUGGACGCCAGUCUGCGUGGAGCCAACCUUGAAAUACCACCCUUUAAUGUUUGAUGUUCUAACGUUGGCCCUUACCGGGGUUGCGGACAGUGUCUGGUGGGUAGUUUGACUGGGGCGGUCUCCUCCCAAAGCGUAACGGAGGAGCACGAAGGUUAGCUAAUCCUGGUCGGACAUCAGGAGGUUAGUGCAAUGGCAUAAGCUAGCUUGACUGCGAGCGUGACGGCGCGAGCAGGUGCGAAAGCAGGUCAUAGUGAUCCGGUGGUUCUGAAUGGAAGGGCCAUCGCUCAACGGAUAAAAGGUACUCCGGGGAUAACAGGCUGAUACCGCCCAAGAGUUCAUAUCGACGGCGGUGUUUGGCACCUCGAUGUCGGCUCAUCACAUCCUGGGGCUGAAGUAGGUCCCAAGGGUAUGGCUGUUCGCCAUUUAAAGUGGUACGCGAGCUGGGUUUAGAACGUCGUGAGACAGUUCGGUCCCUAUCUGCCGUGGGCGCUGGAGAAUUGAGGGGGGCUGCUCCUAGUACGAGAGGACCGGAGUGGACGCAUCACUGGUGUUCGGGUUGUCAUGCCAAUGGCACUGCCCGGUAGCUAAAUGCGGAAGAGAUAAGUGCUGAAAGCAUCUAAGCACGAAACUUGCCCCGAGAUGAGUUCUCCCUGAGACUUUAAGUCUCCUGAAGGAACGUUAAAGACGAUGACGUUGAUAGGCCGGGUGUGUAAGCGCAGCGAUGCGUUGAGCUAACCGGUACUAAUGAACCGUGAGGCUUAACCUUACAACGCCGAAG